rnacentral:rRNA from 1 species
UGCGAAGGGGGCUAGCGUUGCUCGGAAUCACUGGGCGUAAAGGGUGCGUAGGCGGGUCUUUAAGUCAGGGGUGAAAUCCUGGAGCUCAACUCCAGAACUGCCUUUGAUACUGAGGAUCUUGAGUUCGGGAGAGGUGAGUGGAACUGCGAGUGUAGAGGUGAAAUUCGUAGAUAUUCGCAAGAACACCAGUGGCGAAGGCGGCUCACUGGCCCGAUACUGACGCUGAGGCACGAAAGCGUGGGGAGCAAACAGGG